GGUGAACGCUGGCGGUGCGCCUAAUACAUGCAAGUCGAACGAGAAGUUUUUAGAGUUUACUUUAAAAAUGGAAAGUGGCGGACGAGCGAGUAACACGUAAGGAUCUGCCCCAUACUCAGGGAUAACUGGCCGAAAGGUCAGCUAAUACCGGAUGCCCUCUUCGGAGGAAAGCUCAGGCGGUAUGGGAGGAACUUGCGGCUUAUCAGUUAGUUGGUGGGGUAAAGGCCUACCAAGACUAUGACGAGUAGCUGGUGUGAGAGCAUGACCAGCCGCGAUGGGACUGAGACACGGCCCAUACUCCUACGGGAGGCAGCAGUAAGGAAUCUUCCGCAAUGGACGCAAGUCUGACGGAGCGACACCGCGUGGUGGAUGAAGCUUUUCGGAGUGUAAACACCUUUUAUGAGGGAAGAAAAUCUGACGGUACCUCAUGAAUAAGCCCCGGCUAAUUACG
rnacentral:rRNA from 1 species